rnacentral:tRNA from 1 species
ACGCGGGGUGGAGCAGCUCGGUAGCUCGCUGGGCUCAUAACCCAGAGGUCACAGGUUCAAAUCCUGUCCCCGCUACCA